GUCCCUUUACAAUUAAUAAGUAAGGAAGAUAAUGGGUCGGGUUGACACCUGGUUCCUCACUGCUCAUGGGAGGAUCAUUUUUAAAUGGGUACAGGUUGUUCCUAGGAGAAUCGCUUACUUUGUGGGGCCUUCAGAUGCGGUGAUAUUCUUG